rnacentral:rRNA from 1 species
ACAGCUCAAAUUUGAAAUCUGGCCGCAAGGUCCGAGUUGUAAUUUGUAGAGGAUGCUUUUGGCGAGGUGACUUCCGAGUUCCCUGGAACGGGACGCCAUAGAGGGUGAGAGCCCCGUACGGUCGUGCCACCGAGCCUCUGUAAAGCUCCUUCGACGAGUCGAGUAGUUUGGGAAUGCUGCUCUAAAUGGGAGGUGUACGUCUUCUAAAGCUAAAUACCGGCCAGAGACCGAUAGCGCACAAGUAGAGUGAUCGAAAGAUGAAAAGCACUUUGAAAAGAGGGUUAAAAAGUACGUGAAAUUGUUGAAAGGGAAGCAUUCAUGACCAGACUUGGGCUUGGUUGAACAUCCGGCGUUCUCGCCGGUGCACUCUGCCAGCUCAGGCCAGCAUCAGUUUGCCCCGGGGGACAAAGGCGGCGGGAAUGUGGCUCCCUACGGGGAGUGUUAUAGCCCGUCGUGUAAUGCCCUGGGGUGGACUGAGGUUCGCGCUUCGGCACGGAUGCUGGCGUAAUGGUCAUCAAUGACCCGUCUUGAAACACGGACCAAGGAGUCGUCUUCGUAUGCGAGUGUUCGGGUGUCAAACCCCUACGCGUAAUGAAAGUGAACGUAGGUGAGAGCUUCGGCGCAUCACCGACCGAUCCUGAUGUUCUCGGAUGGAUUUGAGUAAGAGCAUACGGGGCCGGACCCGAAAGAAGGUGAACUAUGCCUGUAUAGGGUGAAGCCAGAGGAAACUCUGGUGGAGGCUCGCAGCGGUUCUGACGUGCAAAUCGAUCGUCAAA